GACGAACGCUGGCGGCGUGCCUAAUACAUGCAAGUAGAACGCACAGUUUAUACCUUAGCUUGCUACACCAUAAACUGUGAGUUGCGAACGGGUGAGUAACGCGUAGGUAACCUGCCUGGUAGCGGGUGAUAACUAUUGGAAACGAUAGCUAAUACCGCAUAAUAUUGAUUAUUGCAUGAUAAUUGAUUGAAAGAUGCUAUUGCAUCACUACCAGAUGGACCUUCGUUGUAUUAGCUAGUAGGUGAGGUAACGGCUCACCUAGGCGACGAUACAUAGCCGACCUGAGAGGGUGAUCGGCCACACUGGGACUGAGACACGGCCCAGACUCCUACGGGAGGCAGCAGUAGGGAAUCUUGGGCAAUGGGCGAAAGUCUGAGCGAGCAACGCCGCGGGAGUGAAGAAGGUUUUCGGAUCGGAAAGCUCUGUUGUAAGAGAAGAACGGGUGUGAGAGUGGAAAGUUCACACUGUGACGGUAUCUGACCAGAAAGGGACGGCUAACUACGUG
rnacentral:rRNA from 1 species